AAACAUCUUUAUUCAUAAGAAUAUAAGAAAAACCGAAUUAAAUUAAGAAAUGAGGCAGUAAUUAUGGAAAUGGAGAGUUGAAUUUAAUUGAAUAUCCUAUAUUUUGAUUGAUAUAUAUCCAGUGCUUAAAAUAUACCAUCUACAAUAAUAUAACAAAGAAAAUCUCGAGCUAGUUUUCACUUUUCUACAGUGAGAACAAAUAAUAAUAAAAAUGUAUGUAUGUAUGUACAUUUUAAAAAAGUGGAUAUCAAUAUUUUUGUUAUUAUUAUGUACAGCGUACACACACAUGCAAGCUGUGCACCUUAAAAGAAACUAGUAAAAAAAAAACAGGAUGAAUAAAAGUAUUUCAAGGAAAUAUCAGAAAAUACAAGAUAAUUUUCAGUUCUUAUACUGGUAUAACAUUAUCAUUUAUUAUAAUACGUGUGUUUACACAUUAUUUGAGCAUGUAUAUGUGAUAAAUUUCAAUUCAUUCAAGAAACCAGAAUUCCUUAAAGGUCAUCAGAAAUUAUCACACAAAAAAUUUUUUUGAAUCAAGAAAGUAAAAAAUAAUAUAGAGAAAAUAACAAAGGAAAAGGAGAGAGAGAGAGAGAGGAACAAGAAAAUAAACAAUAAAAAGAACCGUUAACAUAAUUUUAUUUAUUGCUUUGCUUUGCUUAUAUUUUAAAAAUUCCACAUAGUACUUAUUAUUUUGUGUGGCGGCAAAUUGAAAAUUGUCUUCAGUUUUAGUAUUGGAUUCGAAGUGAUAACAACGAUUUUAUCGGAUUACAAAAUAAAAAUAUAAAAUAUAAAAGAAGAAGAAAUAAUACAAAAGUAAAAAUAACGGUUGUGAAAUUUUUUUUUAUCUUCAAUUUAGUUUCUUAUAAUUUUUUGUAUUAAAAAUUUGUGUUUCAUUCUAUCAUCUGUAUAGAUUCUCUUAAAUAUUGUUCACAAAUAAUGUAAAAAAAUAUUAGAUUUAUUAAUAUAAUAGGAAAUAACGGUAUUUCUAAUUUAUUUUUUUAUAAUAAACAUGCUUAGAGUGUAUAUGUAUGAAGUGAAUCGA